UGCAGAUCAAUCUGUAACUUUCUUUUUCUUACCUUCUUUUUCACUGUUUCUUACUUUUGUCCCUUUUUUGGUCAUUUUUUAUUUUGCUUUACCGUUUUUUUGCACCAAUAAAGUGUAAGAUUUUCCAGAGUUCUCCUUCUCCACUUUCUUUUGGCAUACCAUAUGAAGGGGAAUUUGCACAGAAUAGUCAUAUAUAGAGCUCUUAGUUUCUGGAGAUAAUUGUGAAGUUGCAAGACCAGUCAGAAUAUUUUAAGACAGGUGACAAUUUGCAUACUACUUCUGAAUCCCCAUGAAAAUUCCAGAAAUUUAUCAG